UGUUCUUUUUUGAAUUUGGGAAGCGGUUCAAAGCAUAAAUAAAUUUGAAGCCGGAAAAAAGUGACCGAGGUUGAGGUAGGAAGCCCUUCACAGAGGAUGUGGGAGCGACCGGUAUAGUGCGGUGAUCAGAUUUGAUUUGCCGUGACAACCUUGUAUGGAGGGUUCAGAUCGCUUUACGUUGUGCAUUAUAGAUUCUGCUAUUCCUCUCUAUACUUUGUAAAAGUUAUAGAUGUAGUCGCUGAACUUUAAUUUGAUCAAUUUUAGCCUUUUUACUUUUUGAA